UUCGUAGGUGAACUGCGGAAGGAUCA
rnacentral:rRNA from 1 species